rnacentral:sRNA from 1 species
ACACUUCCGGCUCCAGCAGAUGUAGACGAGUACUUGAAAUGAUAGGUGUAAAUAGUAGCGUAAAUGUCGCCACUACUCCUCCUUGCGGCCGAUUUAGUUAUUAUCACAAUGCUCAGGCAAAUUACGGAGAUGCUGUGAUGAAAGUUUGUACAACAGUCGCCAAUGGAUGAAGUUCAUGAAAUACAAUGUUAGGAGUCUUACGAGGAUCGUAAAUCCCAAUUUGGGCCGGGGGAAAGUGUAAGCGUUUACGGGCGAACCUUAUGCUGGGCAGACCCUGUGGGAAUUCCUGGGACUGCUGAUGAUAAAACUGGCGAUACACGGUGCUGAUCGGAGCCCUGUAAUGGUAUAUAUCUAAUUAUUGCCAAAUUGGAAUGAGAUAAACCGACAGUUAUACCGAGAAAAAGACGUGCUGAUGCCGACUCAAAGGAUCGCACAAUGUAUGGAGCAGGUUGUAAAUCCUAUCCUAGAACGGCCUGCAGGUGCGUGUUCCCGCCAAACUGACAACAAGUCUCGCGGAAUCUGAUAUCUCGUCUAAACCAAAUCUCGCUUCAGUCUCUAUCUAAUAUAUGGCAAAAAUUACUCUUUAUUGUUUAGAAUAAACAUUUAGGUUUUUUUUUAAUAGUUUGCAAUAAAAACAGAUUUUAGUCUUUUCUGGCGCACAGUAACAGCUAGGCAGUGAGUCAAAUUGUAUUGGUCAAGACUACCACACUGUUUUCCCUACAAUUUAACCAGCAAAGCCAUAAUGACGGGCUUUCUCUGAACUGAGCGUAAGCGAAAGUGAGUACAAUAAUCGUGUAACAGAAUAGGAUGAAUAGGGUGAAAUGCUGAUAUCUAUUCCCAAAAGCAUUGGGUUUUAGAUAAACUAUGGUUCGAAUAGGCAGCCGGUGCAUAACAUGCAAUUUGAACUGUGGAUAGCCACACCUGGGAAUUGUGUCUAUUGUAGACUGGAAGCGAUAUACAGUGUAACAAAGUGGCCUCUAAUUAGAUGGGUGGUACAUGUGUAUUGUAACGGAGGGACUUAUAAUCAGAGAUCUAGGAUCAUCAUACCACAGCAAUAGUCGAAUCUCUUGUGUCUAGCUUUAUAUUCAGCGUAUUUGAAAUGUUAUCUACAUUGUUUAAUAUAAUAGAGAGUGUUUUUUUGUCUAUUACUCAGUAUAAUGAAUAAUAGAGUGAGCAAUCCUAAAGAAGUGAUUGUUUUUGGUGAUUAUAUAAUGGGAGUUUAUAAAAUUAAGUAUGGCGAAAACUCUAUUUAAAAUUCAUGUUCGUCUAAUUUAUAUUUUUCAUCAAAUUGUAAGGACACCAACUACAAUACAGUUAGAACAGAACAACUUCUAACCGAUAUCCAUAUGUCUACCAUUUAACCACUGAAAAUCUUCCAGAGAAACCCCGCAAUAUGUCUUAGUAAAUUAAACAUGUGACCUUUGAUAUAUAUGAUGUUCGUUUUACGAGAGUACGUUACGCCAUGGAUAUUUGCCUGCUUGACAAAUAAUCUAAGACAUUACAUUCAUUUGACUUUCACCAAUAAAAUUUUACACUUUCAAGAAAGAACAUACAUUCUAAAAAUUCAACCUGCUCAAACAGAUUUAUAAAUCCUAUCGAUAUGGUGUUGAGAACCAUUAAAAGGCCGUAUCUGACCGGGUUAAACAUCCAAACGGACAACAAUUCACGGUGGGCGGAGGAAGACGUCCUCUCCUGUUGGCUUACUACUAAUUGGAUAUCUCAUGAAACGUCAGAUUGAUUCAAAGAGGAAAAGUAUAUAUAAUAAAAAUAUAAGUAUAUAUAAUAAACAUAUAAAAUACUGCAAGAAAAGUGAGUGAUCAGCAGGCGUGUCCUGUCUGUUGUUUUUGGUCUUUUCCAGAUUAUUUUUAUCUUCAUUAUGACGUUGACAAUGACUCGAUAAUAAUGACGUUCUACUAUUGCACUGACUUGUAGAGACUUGCCUUUGGACAAACAACUGUGUUGUAUGACAUAUAAUAUACACAGCCUUAUCUAAAUGUUUUGUAUGUUUUCAGUUUAAUAACUCUGCGAUUUUAUCAUACCCUGAUUUGACAAUGUAUUUGGAUGCAAGGCAUGUCCAUGAGCGCAAAGAUCAUGGUUCGUCACCAAGUUUAAUCCAUUACAACCAAUCUCAACGAUUAAAGCUGGAUCUCAAAGAUAGAAUCGGCCCAUAUUUCCUGCCCCGAGGAAAUCAGAUCUUCAUUAGAAUGUUUUUCCUCCGCAGUCCGUAAUCAGAUUGCGGCGGACUUGGAAACAGAAAGUGUCAGGUGCGCGAGUCUACAGGAUUAGGAGACCGGGGAUCCUUCUGUGUCGCCGUAACGUUAAACGGAUAGACUUGGUAUCCAGGAGCACAAUUUCCUGUGCAGAGUCUUGUAAGGUUUUUUUGUUUGCAAACAUCAUCUGAUCGAGAAAGCUAACACUAUCGACCACCAGUGUCAUCUUGUUAUGUCAAGUUUUUUUUUGAGACAUCAAUUUCUUUGUUUCUUGGAAUAAAUGCAUGCCUGCAG